AUCUGUUUAGUAUAAAGUAUAUUUGACUUCCAAUCAAAAGGUUUGGAUAACUCCAAAAUAGAUA
rnacentral:tRNA from 1 species